GACGAACGCUGGCGGCGUGCCUAAUACAUGCAAGUCGAACGAACUCUGGUAUUGAUUGGUGCUUGCAUCAUGAUUUACAUUUGAGUGAGUGGCGAACUGGUGAGUAACACGUGGGAAACCUGCCCAGAAGCGGGGGAUAACACCUGGAAACAGAUGCUAAUACCGCAUAACAACUUGGACCGCAUGGUCCGAGCUUGAAAGAUGGCUUCGGCUAUCACUUUUGGAUGGUCCCGCGGCGUAUUAGCUAGAUGGUGGGGUAACGGCUCACCAUGGCAAUGAUACGUAGCCGACCUGAGAGGGUAAUCGGCCACAUUGGGACUGAGACACGGCCCAAACUCCUACGGGAGGCAGCAGUAGGGAAUCUUCCACAAUGGACGAAAGUCUGAUGGAGCAACGCCGCGUGAGUGAAGAAGGGUUUCGGCUCGUAAAACUCUGUUGUUAAAGAAGAACAUAUCUGAGAGUAACUGUUCAGGUAUUGACGGUAUUUAACCAGAAAGCCACGGCUAACUACGUGCCAGCAGCCGCGGUAAUACGUAGGUGGCAAGCGUUGUCCGGAUUUAUUGGGCGUAAAGCGAGCGCAGGCGGUUUUUUAAGUCUGAUGUGAAAGCCUUCGGCUCAACCGAAGAAGUGCAUCGGAAACUGGGAAACUUGAAUGCAGAAGAGGACAGUGGAACUCCAUGUGUAGCGGUGAAAUGCGUAGAUAUAUGGAAGAACACCAGUGGCGAAGGCGGCUGUCUGGUCUGUAACUGACGCUGAGGCUCGAAAGUAUGGGUAGCAAACAGGAUUAGAUACCCUGGUAGUCCAUACCGUAAACGAUGAAUGCUAAGUGUUGGAGGGUUUCCGCCCUUCAGUGCUGCAGCUAACGCAUUAAGCAUUCCGCCUGGGGAGUACGGCCGCAAGGCUGAAACUCAAAGGAAUUGACGGGGGCCCGCACAAGCGGUGGAGCAUGUGGUUUAAUUCGAAGCUACGCGAAGAACCUUACCAGGUCUUGACAUACUAUGCAAAUCUAAGAGAUUAGACGUUCCCUUCGGGGACAUGGAUACAGGUGGUGCAUGGUUGUCGUCAGCUCGUGUCGUGAGAUGUUGGGUUAAGUCCCGCAACGAGCGCAACCCUUAUUAUCAGUUGCCAGCAUUAAGUUGGGCACUCUGGUGAGACUGCCGGUGACAAACCGGAGGAAGGUGGGGAUGACGUCAAAUCAUCAUGCCCCUUAUGACCUGGGCUACACACGUGCUACAAUGGAUGGUACAACGAGUUGCGAACUCGCGAGAGUAAGCUAAUCUCUUAAAGCCAUUCUCAGUUCGGAUUGUAGGCUGCAACUCGCCUACAUGAAGUCGGAAUCGCUAGUAAUCGCGGAUCAGCAUGCCGCGGUGAAUACGUUCCCGGGCCUUGUACACACCGCCCGUCACACCAUGAGAGUUUGUAACACCCAAAGUCGGUGGGGUAACCUUUUAGGAACCAGCCGCCUAAGGUGGGACAGAUGAUUAGGGUG
rnacentral:rRNA from 1 species